UAACGCCCAGAGAUGGGUGCCCCCUUUGUGGUCGGUGCCAGGUGGUGCAUGGUUGUCGUCAGCUCGUGUCGUGAGAUGUUGGGUUAAGUCCCGCAACGAGCGCAACCCUCGUCCUAUGUUGCCAGCGGGUCAUGCCGGGGACUCAUGGGAGACUGCCGGGGUCAACUCGGAGGAAGUGGGAUGACGUCAAAUCAUCAUGCCCCUUAUGUCUUGGGCUUCACGCAUGCUACAAUGGCCGGUACAAAGGGCUGCGAUACCGCGAGGUGGAGCGAAUCCCAGAAAGCCGGUCUCAGUUCGGAUUGGGGUCUGCAACUCGACCCCAUGAAGUCGGAGUCGCUAGUAAUCGCAGAUCAGCAACGCUGCGGUGAAUACGUUCCCGGGCCUU
rnacentral:rRNA from 1 species